UCUCUUUACAACUCUUUGUGAAUGCUUCAGGCGCGGCGGAUUAUGUGUUUUAACGAUAUUAGUUUCUUUUGCUUCCAUUAGCUGGAGUAUGUCUUUCCCAUAAAUUCCAGAGCGGAUGUCUAUUGUCUGAUGCGUUUCGGCCUGUGUGUGUGUGACGCCAAUGAAAAGUGAAAACCACAAUGUGGAUAGGCCCACUCUGCAAGGUGCUUUAUGAAUUUUUGUGGAUGUGUCGUAAUAUCACCAGGAGCGGAGAUGGCACUGUCUCCCAUUCGGCUAUCAGGUAAAGAAGACAUAUUUUGAAGAAACAAUAGCUGAGCUAAUGAGGAAAAAGAAGAGCCAGGAGAUAACAGCCUGGCUGCGGUCAUGAAGGAGGGUAAGAUAAGGAGCUGGAUAAGGAAAUGAACGAUGCUGGUCCCUAGCCCUGACAGCGAUUGCUAGGAUCUGAAGACCCUGCUUGGAAAGGAAUCCUGUUUUCAUGGUAACUAGAAGCAGAGAAAAGAAACUAAAAAUCAAGACACUGAUGUUGUCUUGGUGGUCCUUUCAUACUCUUAAGAUUUCUUACAUCAGAGGUCUUGUGCCAGGUCCAAUUCCUGAAGCUGCCUUUCCUUCCUGCUCCCUCUUGCUGUACCAGUAAAUUCCCUGAGACUGACUCUUGCUUGAGAUGUUAUUUGUAUAUAAGGUUUGUUCCACAAAUGUUUACUGAUCACCUGCUGAGUGAAUGACACUCUCCUGGGAAAUUUGGAGGAAUCCAAAAAAUGUUUGUCCUAUCUUCAAUGAGCUUACAAGCUAGUUGGGGCUUAAAACAUACUCACAUAAAAAUAAAAAUUAAAUAGCAACCAAAACAACCCCCAGCAACACAAAGCUAUAGUGUUCUGCUUAGAUGGCAGUGAAUUGCACGGAUUUAAAGGGAGAGGGAGUCACUAUGGAGUUGUAGUGGCUUCCGGAGGUUUUAUGAAGAAGCGCAAAGUUAGAUGGGAGUUUGGAAUGGUAAGGAGGUCAUUAAAGGCAGAGGAGAAUGGUAUGAAGCAAAUGCCAGGGGCUGCUUUUGUGCAAGUGUACAAUAAGACCUCCUUGUGGGCAGACCAGUCACAGAAGAGCACCCCUUCCUCCUAGCCCAACCCAUGAUGCACUUCAAUGCUGGCUUGUUUAGCAGAACUUGGCCUAGAUUUGAUCCUCUCUUGCCCCUCCCCUCCACAGGCUGCCUUAGACCUACACAUAGAAAGCACAGCCAUCUGUGGUGGCUAGAGGGUCCGAGUGUGACCCUGGAUAAGGUGUUUUGGGUGUGGUUAGCCCAGGUUGGCUAGAGCCAAGGGCUAACAAGACGGAGAUAAAAUGGGGAAGAUGUGUUGGGGCCAGAGUGUGGAGAAGAGGUACUAUAGCACUAAGGAACCAAGGCUUCCUUUUAAGGCUGAUAGGGAUUCAGUGAAUGUUUGCAGGCAGGGAAGGGCUCAGAUGGGAUUUUUAAAUGCUCACUGGAGCAUAGCCACUUCUCAGUUCUGUGGAGCAAUUUUUACUGCUGAGGCACUGAGCUGGGCCUCUUCUUCCUUGGCCCUGUCCUUGUAGGACUGGUAUUUACACUGGUAUUUACAGUCCUUAUAGGACUGCUAAUUUCCCCACUCAGCUUCUGGGCCAUCUCAUUAUCCCAUCUUUUUCUUGACUAUUAGAAAAAAGUAUUUUUUAAUUAAAAAAAUCUCUUCGAAUAUAUUUGUAUGUCAUAUAUAUAUAUAUAUGUUCACAUAUAUAUGAGUGUAUAUAUACCUUAAAGUUUUCUUCUGUUAUUAACCUCUCUCUAGCUCCUAGUCUCCCCCUCUACGCACACAUAGGUAAGUACUGUUAGGAGCUUUUUGUGGCAAGUGCAAAGGUGAAUAUAGCAAAUCUUUAUCCUCAUUCGCUCUUUUAAAAAAUAUAUAUAUUUUAAGAUUUUUUUUUUUUAAUAUUUUAUUUAUUUGACAGAGAGAGACACAGUGAGAGAAGGAACACAAGCAGAGGGAGUGGGUAAGGGAGAAGCUGGCUUCCCGCCGAGCAGGGAGCCCAAUGCGGGGCUCGAUCCCAGGACCCUGGGAUCAUGACCUGAGCCGAAGGCAGACGCUUAACGACUGAGCCACCCAGGCACCCUAUAUUUUAAGAUUUUAUUUAUUUGAGAGAGAAAGAGAGAGAAAGAGCAUGAGCAGGGGGGAGGGGCAGAGGGAGGAGCUGACUCCCCCCACCAAGCAGUGAGCCCAACUUGGGGCUCCACCCCAGGACCCUGGGCUCAUGACCUGAGCCGAAGGCAGACAUUUAACUGACUGAGCCACCCAGGCGCCCCUUCGUUUACUCUUUAACACAAAUGAUAGCAUGCUAUACACAGGUAUGUUGCUUCCUUUCCUUAAUUGUAAAUUCUAGUGAUCCUUUCUAGUAUCCUUUUGAAGAGACAGAGAGCCAUACUGUUAACAAGAACAAGAAUGAAGCAGCUGGUAGGUCUUGAGCUCUUAGAGUAUUACCACCAUGUUGAGGGCCUAAUAUCCAACUUUAUAACAGCCUGUGAGUUGGGGUUGACUAUAUUUUCUUUUCUUUCUUUUUUUUUUUUUUUCAGAGAGAGAGGCAGGGGAGGGGCAGAGGGAGAGGGAGAGAGAGAAUCUUGAGCAGGCUCCACACCCAGCGCAGAGCCCGACUCAGCUUGGGGCUUAGUCGCACAGAAUCUUGGACCCUAAGACACCAGGUGCCCAGCUGGGCAUCAUUUAAAUAUUUGUAUAUUAAGUACUUAAAUGUUUGCUCUGUGUAUAGAAUGAGCUAUUGACUUGGUGUUCAUAGUUUAUAAAAAGAAAAUAGUCGGGCGCCUGGAUGGCUCAGUCAGUUAAGCAUCCGAUUCUUGAUUUUGGCUUAGGUCAUGAUCCCAGGGUCCUGGGAUUCAAGGUCCCAUGUGGGCCUCCCCGCUCAGCAGGGAGUCUGUUUGAGGAUUCUCUCUUCCUCUUCCUCUGCCCCUCCCCACCUAAAAUAAAUAAAUAAAUCUUUUUUUUUUU